AAAUGCCAAGUGGCACGAUAAACCCUAGCUAGCAUUUUUUCCUUAAGAGCUAUGGCGCCGGCGAUCCCUUCCAGGCUUCUCUACAUCGGAGGGCAAUGGCGAGCUCCGGAUCUGGGCGGACAGAUAGCGGUCAUCAAUCCAGCGACGGAAGAUACCAUAGGCUACAUUCCCGCUGCCACGGCCGCCGAUGUGGAUCUCGCUGUCAAGGCCGCUAGGGAGGCGUUUACCAAAGACAAUGGGAAAUAUUGGGCAAGAACUACGGGGAAGUACCGGGCAAAGUUUUUGCGAGCCAUUGCUGCCGAGGUGACUGCGAGGAAAUCUGAGUUGGCUGAGCUCGAGGCGAUGGAUUGUGGAAAACCCCUCGACGAAGCAGCAUGGGAUAUGGACGAUGUUGCGGGAUGUUUCGACUACUAUGCUGGUCUGGCCGAAGGUUUGGAUGCAAAGGGGCACCUGUCCGUAGAGCUUCCAAUGGAUACAUUCAAGACUAACGUCUUAAAAGAACCGAUUGGUGUUGUCGGUCUUAUAACUCCAUGGAAUUAUCCUUUACUUAUGUCAACUUGGAAGGUUGCACCAGCUCUUGCAGCAGGCUGUACUGCCAUUCUUAAACCAUCAGAGCUUGCAUCAGUUACCUGCUUGGAACUUGCGUCAAUCGCCGCGAAGGUCGGGCUUCCUGCUGGUGUACUGAAUGUAGUUACUGGAUUAGGGAAAGAUGCCGGUGCGCCUCUGUCUAAGCAUCCUGGUGUUGAUAAGGUUGCAUUCACAGGCAGUACAGCCACUGGAAAAUCAAUAAUGGGAGCAGCUGCUGAAAUAAUCAAGCCCGUGACGCUGGAACUGGGUGGGAAAAGUGCUAUCAUCGUUUUCGAUGAUGUGGAUAUUGAGAAAGCUGUUGAAUGGACAAUGUUCGGAGUGUUUUGGACUAAUGGUCAGAUUUGCAGUGCGACAUCAAGGCUGUUGCUCCAGGAAAAUAUCGCAUCUGUGUUUUUGGAAAGACUGGCAGAGUGGACGAAAACGAUAAAAAUUUCAAACCCCUUGGAGCCGGGAUGCAGACUUGGUCCAGUUGUGAGCGAAGGUCAGUACAAGAAGGUCAUGAAGUACAUAUCUACGGCACAAGAAGAAGGUGCUACGCUGCUGUGUGGUGGGAAACGCCCGGAGCACUUGAGCAAAGGAUAUUUUGUUGAGCCGACAGUCUUUGCGAAUGUCAGGCCCUCCUCUCAGAUAUGGAAAGAAGAAGUCUUUGGUCCGGUCCUUGCAGUUCGGACCUUCAGAACAGAAGAGGAAGCUAUAAAGCUGGCCAACGAUUCUGAGUAUGGACUCGCAGGGGCCGUCAUCUCGACAGACGAGGAGCGCUGCCAGCGUGUAGCAGAGCUGUUGCAAGCGGGAAUCGUAUGGAUCAAUUGUGCUCAGCCGACCUUCACCCAGGCCCCGUGGGGUGGUACAAAACGCAGUGGCUUUGGACGGGAGCUGGGAGAAUGGGGUCUCGAGAACUAUUUGUCCGUGAAGCAAGUUACCAAAUACAUAUCAGAGGAACAGUGGGGUUGGUACCCCCGACCUUCGAAAAUGUAAAGCUAUCGAGGAUGUCUGCUCUAAUGGCCUACAUGUUAUCCUGCAGCCGUAGUCCUCGACCCCGUAAGCGCGCUCUUCCUUAGCAAGAUAGCUUUGCCCAGGAAUAAAUGGGUCGUUGAGACGAAAGUGAUGCGAGCUCACAAGCUUUUCGCUUGUGGCAGUGUGUGUGUUUGUGUGUGUGCGUCCAUACAGGCAUUAUUGGCGGCCUGUGGCCUCUGGCAAGCAGACUGGUCCAUAUCUUCCAUCCAGUCCAGCCUUUAUCUUGUUUGGUGUUUCUCCAAAGCGAUGAAACUCGCUCGAUCGCUCGCACGUUUAGUCUGUCCUGGGUAUUGCGUCCUCUAGUCUCGUUUCUCAUAUUCUUGUUUUGUUCUUUGCUCUUGUCGGAUUCAAGUCAAAGCUAGCUCGCUAGCUCGAGGACAAGCAAUGCAAGGGAGCAAAGCUACUGGAGGCAAAAUGGAGGAGAUAGCUACAUAGCCUAUGACUCGACCAGAACAAGGUAAAACAUCUUUUUCUUUGUCUCUUGUUUGCUUGUCGUUCUCAUCUUCCAGAUUAAGCAGUAGAGCCGCUGAAUCAGAAAACCCGUGGAUGGUGGAUUGACUCUAACAAAAAAUCCAGCCUCCAGAGAGUUUUCGUGCUCACAAUGAUUCCAAACAGUGAAAGCGAGCAAGCCGGAAGAAUGGCAGCGUUGGUAUGUGGAACGGCGCGGUCUACUCAUUUUUCAUGAUCUUGCGAUCUCUCCUGCCUGCCAAUGGCCGCUAAGCUGGCCUGCGAGGAUCUUCGCUUCCAUAUUUUAGCGAGCAAAAAGAUAAAGACGAAAAGAAAAGAGCCUUCCUCCUCGGAUAGAAACUUGUCUGCCAGAGAAGUUCUCUCUUUCAACCUCACCUUUUCCACCA